rnacentral:rRNA from 1 species
UACGUAGGGGGCAAGCGUUGUCCGGAAUCAUUGGGCGUAAAGCGCGUGUAGGCGGCCCGGUAAGUCCGCUGUGAAAGUCGGGGGCUCAACCCUCGGAUGCCGGUGGAUACUGUCGGGCUAGAGUGCGGGAGAGGCGAGUGGAAUUCCUGGUGUAGCGGUGAAAUGCGUAGAUAUCGGGAGGAACACCUGUGGCGAAAGCGGCGCACUGGACCAUAACUGACGCUGAGGCGCGAAAGCUAGGGGAGCAAACAGG